UACAGGUUGCUCUAUAUUUACUUCAGAGAUGUCUUCACUGACCUCAACUCAUGCAGGCCUGAUGCUAUUGCCCUAAAGGAUUUUGAGGAAUUGGAAAAGGAAUUAGACAAUAUGGAAAA